AUAAAACCUGACAUCAUUUAGCUGCAUCAAAUGCAACACUUCUGAAUAUUCUAUCAUCAGUGCAGUGCUCUAGAACUGCCACGUUGGCUACAGCAUCUUUUGAUUCACAUCAGAAAAGGUGGGAACGAAUAUUUUUAUGAUUUCUUUGUUUUGUUGCUCACUCUAAUACGGUUCAAGCAACAGCUUCCAUGUAACUCAUGUGAAUGUGACAACUGAUUGCACAGAAUCACAAUUUUCAUUGUUGGUAGCUAUAUGGGAUGCACCCCUAACUUCACUACAGAUAGCAAACGAAUUCAGGAUACACUACAGAUUCUGCAGUUACUUAGCUCUUUAUGAAACAUACAUUCUUCAAUUUGGCAUACCGGUAGGUAAGCUAAGGAGAUUGAUCAGGCAGGGCCUGUCUCAACCUCUUCUGCG